rnacentral:rRNA from 1 species
UGCGCAGGCGGUGAGUUAAGUCUGCUGUGAAAGCCCCGGGCUCAACCUGGGAAUGGCAGUGGAAACUGGCUCGCUGGAGUGUGGCAGAGGGGGGUGGAAUUCCGCGUGUAGCAGUGAAAUGCGUAGAGAUGCGGAGGAACACCGAUGGCGAAGGCAGCCCCCUGGGCCAACACUGACGCUCAGGCACGAAAGCGUGGGGAGCAAACAGGAUUAGAUACCCUGGUAGUCCACGCCCUAAACGAUGGCAACUGGGUGUUGGGGAAGCGAUUCCUUGGUACCGUAGCUAACGCGUGAAGUUGCCCGCCUGGGGAGUACGGCCGCAAGGUUAAA